rnacentral:rRNA from 1 species
GGAUGAACGCUGGCGACGUGGAUAAGGCAUGCAAGUCAAAGGGCCCUUCGGGGCACUGGCAAACUGGGUAGUAACAAGUGGGAACUCGCCCUUAAGUCAUGAAUAGCUUCGAGAAAUCGGGGGUAAUACAUGAUAUCCCUUCGGGGGAAAGAUUUAUUGCUUAAGGAGAGGCCUGCUUAGUAUCAGCUUGUUGGUAGUGUAAAAGACUACCAAGGCUAUGACGCUUAGGGGAGGUGAGAGCCUGACCCCCACCAUUGGCACUGAGACACUGGCCAAACACCUACGGGUGGCUGCAGUCGAGAAUCUUCCGCAAUGCACGAAAGUGUGACGGAGCGACGUCGCGUGAUGGAUGAAGUCCUUAGGGGCGUAAACAUCUUUUAUGAGGGAGGAAGUUUAUUGACGUUACCUCAUGAAUAAGGAGUUGCUAAACUCGUGCCAGCAGCAGCGGUAAUACGAGUGCUCCAAGCGUUAUCCGGAAUCACUGGGCGUAAAGGGUCCGUAGGCGGUCUUGUUAGUCUUUUGUUAAAGCCCGGGGCUUAACUCCGGAUCGGCAAAGGAAACGGCAAGACUAGAGGUUGCGAGAGGUUGUUGGAACUCAUAGUGUAGGGGUGAAAUCCGUUGAUCUUAUGGGGAACACCAAAUGCGAAGGCAAACAACUGGCGCAUUCCUGACGCUGAGGGACGAAAGCGUGGGUCGCGAAUGGGAUUAGAUACCCCAGUAGUCCACGCCCUAAACGUUCUCAACUAGCUUUUCGGAGUAUCGACCCUCUGAGAGGCGAAGCUAACGCAUUAAGUUGAGCGCCUGGGUAGUACGAGCGCAAGCUUAAAACUCAAAGGAAUAGACGGGGACUUGCACAAGCGGUGGAUCAUGUGGCUUAAUUCGAUAGUAAACGAAGAACCUUACCAGGGUUAGAAACUUAUUCGACGAACUUCAGAAACGAAGUUUUUCUCACAAGGACGGAUAAGCAGGUGUUGCAUGGCCGUCGUCAGUUCGUGAUUUGAAUUGUUCCCU